rnacentral:rRNA from 1 species
UGGGGAAUAUUGCGCAAUGGGCGAAAGCCUGACGCAGCAACGCCGCGUGCGGGAUGACGGCCUUCGGGUUGUAAACCGCUUUCAGCAGGGACGAAGGUUUUCUGACGGUACCUGCAGAAGAAGCACCGGCUAACUACGUGCCAGCAGCCGCGGUGAUACGUAGGGUGCGAGCGGUGUCCGGAAUUAUUGGGCGUAAAGAGCUUGUAGGCGGUCCGUUGCGUCGGAAGUGAAAACUCAGGGCUUAACCCUAAGCCUGCUUUCGAUACGGGCGGACUUGAGGAAUGUAGGGGAGAACGGAAUUCCUGGUGGAGCGGUGGAAUGCGCAGAUAUCAGGAGGAACACCAGUGGCGAAGGCGGUUCUCUGGACAUUUCCUGACGCUGAGAAGCGAAAGCGUGGGGAGCAAACA